CAGAAUAUAUUAUCCAUAUAUUAUUAAAUCAGAUUUUUCUCCCAUUCAUGUUCGAUAUAUUUAAAGAAACAACAUCUUAUGCCAAAUUUAGUUUUUUUUUUCCAUUGGCAACUUAUGAAAUUUAGCUUUGCUCAUUGGCAACUAAUGCCAAAUAUGCCAAAUUUAGCGUUAAAAAUAUGUUCAUUCAACCAAAAAAAAUUCUGGGAAAUUUCGUUGCGACCAAAGUUACGGAGGCGUAUAUUUUCUUCUGAAAUUCUACAGAAUUUUGGUUUUCCUUCGGAUCAUUGAUUGUAUAUCAAAUCCUUUUUGGUUUUAUUCAUUCGGAUUUUUUUCUUCUUUCACAUUACAAAACCCUAAUAUUCACUCACCACAUGGCUUUUCUCUGUGUUCGUAGCAUGGGUAUCUAAUAUGACUUGAUUUGUUGUAAAUGAACACCACAUGCUACUGGGAAGCAAGGAUCGUUGAACUGCCGGAAAAUGAAGAUUGGUAUUAUACUUGCAAAACUUGCAACAAGAAGGUAGAAUAACCUUGCCUUGAUAUUUCCUUAAUUUGUCGCCUCUGGUAAUUAAGCUUAUAUUGUGUACGCUUGGAGGUUAUUGUUUUUCAUUGCGGUGUAAUUCAUUACAUAUAUCUUGGAUUUAUAUAUUAGAGCAUUAUUUAUAUGAUUGAAUUUCUUCUCUGUAGAUUACCAUGUACCAGAUGUUUUGUAUUUUGCAGAUAAAAUUUGAAAUUUCCUAUUACCUUCUCGAAAGGGACAUAUAUCCCAUCUGUGUGCAGAUCAUGGGAAGACUCUUGGAGUAUUCCAUAUGAUAUUUUGACAGCUGAUGCUUUACCGACCAUCACAGACUCCUAAUGAUUAUUUUUGUGAUGAUGUUUAAGCUUAACGAUAUUCAACAAGUCCCAAGAUAUAUGCUUCAUAAGCACGUUAGGUUUACUAUUGACUCAUUCCUACAAUUACUACAUUUUUUGUUACUACAUAGACAGAACUUCCAUGCCCUUGCUUUCAGUUAUCACAAGAGGAAAAAUCUACACACUAAAGUUGAUUGAAUUGACAGCUCCGAUCUUUGUUAGCCUGUAUCCUAGCUUCAGAAGGGAAUGGUUCUGAAUUGUAACUUAUACCAAAAAUAAAUAAAAUAUAUUUAAACUGUUUUUGAGCUUAUAUGACUGUCUUACUUAAUUUCUCCAAACGUAUUGCACAAUGUUAUUGAAAUGUGCAUGACAAGCGCCGGUGUUAAAGAUUGGAAAACAAGAAAAGCUAUGCCAGAAUACACGGGGUAAAGUCUUUCUCAAAUAAAUGGAUUCUAUAAAUACUUAAGUGACCAAAGGAAUAUCAACUCCUUGGUUGACCCUGUACUCAGCACAACGAGCUCAAAAUUAUUUAUGGAAUCAUUCAGGGGCUGCUCCAUGAGGAUCCGAGAAAACGACUUUCAAUUGGAGAGGUCGUUACUUAAAUUGAGAUAAAGCUCUACACACUUGGGUUGCGGGUUAUGCUUCUUGACCAGGUGGUUUCAGGACUGUUCCGAACGGUUGCAGGACUUCGGAGAAACAUGGUUGUUGCAAGUACAGUUGCCUCAUUUGUGUUAGACAUUCUUUUGGCCUUCAGCAGUAUCAGAACUCAAACUGAAAAUUGAUCUUGGGUAUAAUAUACAUGCUUUUGUUUUUUGUUUUCUUAUCUUCGUUUCUGUUUGCUCCAGUAAAUAUAAAAAAAAUGGUGAAUGAAAGGACAAAUGUACUAAAGAAGUUGGAACGUAGAUAAGAUCAACUCAAAUUUUUUAAAUCUUUUGUCUGCAGUUUGUUCCCGAUGUUACAGAUAAACUAGGAAUAGCUGUUUUGAAAUCGAGUCGAUUCUAUUACGCAAGACCUUAUUGGUUGGACUAUGGGCUUUAUAACUGGCUAACUUGGCUGACUUUUCUGUGGUUUAAGCUAUCUAAUGAUUUUUGUUGCAUAGAUUUGUUUUUCAGGUUUCAUAGACGGGUUUAAUGAGGCAGAGGGAGCUUAACCCACGAAGUUUCCACCUGGCACACCACUUCCACCAAUCCCAGUUGAUAUUUAAUUGGAAAAUCAUGGCAACUUGGAGAAAAUAUUAUGGGUAAGUUGAGUUGCAAAGCAAAUUUUCCCGCCAAGACUUCAAAGCAUCCAGACGUAUUGGGGUUCAAACAUUUCCUCUCUGCAAAAGCGCUCACUCUACAUCUUUAUUUAAUUAUUUAUCAUAACUAACUCUAUUUAUGAUACGAUGAAUCAUAUUUUGAUGAAAAAAGAAUUUAGGCGUUCAAAAUAUGGGAAUCAUGUUCAAGCUUUCAGAGUUCAUGGAUAGGUAGCAACCAACUCGAAAUAUGUUACCUUUGCAGUCAAUUUUUUUUUUAAAAAAAGAAGAAGGCUUACUCCGCACAACCUCUGAUCCUGGGACACCAAAUCAUGUUUAUCAGGGACUUGGUAAUAUUGUAAUGAUGGAGCUAAGGCAGAUCUGGUCAUGUGGUGUGAUCCUUUUCUCUCACAUAGAUGGCAAUAUUUGUUCUGGAAAAUCAAACCUAAUGGAAUUAUUCAAAAAGAAAAUUUCUUUUGUUGAGUUAAUCUUAAUGAUGUCGACAAUAUGGCCAACAAUUAUCUAAGCAGAGAUUUUUGUUAGGUGAACUGGCUCAUUUAUAUUUCUAUUUUCCUCUUUUGUGUUCAUUAAUAUGAGCAGGCAACAUCUUUGUGUUGUACGUUCACGUAGAUUUGAAGUCGAUCUAAGCAAAUGUAAGAUGAGUACCAAUUGUAAUAAUAGUUGGGUUUGAAAUCUUAACUUUUAUGUCCAGUCUUUCUUUCAACCGAAUGUCACCUAUUGAUUGGAUUUGGUGUUUAUCACUUUAAGAAAGCAACGUAUAUUGAUUGUGCCUUCCAUGACUAGAGGUAUGCCAAUGCCCAAUAUAUACUGAAAAUCUCACUUAAACCAGUCUAUUAUUUAAUUAAACCAGUCUAUUAUUUAAUUUUGAUUUCCAAUUAUGAAAAAUGUAUAUACUGCCUCAUAGUAGUUCUUUGGGUGCUUUGUGUAAUGAAAGAAACAAUAGUGAAUUGAUUCAUUGGUUCGUAUGUGAGAUCAAGAACUUAGCAUGCAGACAAGAACUUUGUGUACUGAAAGAAACAAUAGUGAAUUGAUUCAUUGGUUCGUGUGUGAGAUCAAGAACUUAGCAUGCAGACAAGAACGUAGCACUGAUGUUAUAAUGGAUAUAUUACUGAGAUCGAAUCAUUGACCCACCCUGAUUAUGUUUAGUCCUAUGAUUAUGUAGGCUUUAUAUUUAUCUUUGUUUGUAAUCUGCUUUUUUCCCGAUUAGUCGUCGUACUUUGACUAACCUUAUCUUUGAGAAACAUUCAUUUCUCAAAUUUUAAAAUAU